ACGAUGGAAGUAGAGGAAAGUGGCGGACGGGUGAGUAACGCGUGAGGAACCUGCCUUGAAGAGGGGGACAACAGUUGGAAACGACUGCUAAUACCGCAUGAAGCAUAGGGGUCGCAUGAUUCUUAUGCCAAAGAUUUAUCGCUUCAAGAUGGCCUCGCGUCUGAUUAGCUAGUUGGCGGGGUAACGGCCCACCAAGGCGACGAUCAGUAGCCGGACUGAGAGGUUGAACGGCCACAUUGGGACUGAGAUACGGCCCAGACUCCUACGGGAGGCAGCAGUGGGGAAUAUUGGGCAAUGGGCGCAAGCCUGACCCAGCAACGCCGCGUGAAGGAAGAAGGCUUUCGGGUUGUAAACUUCUUUUAAGAGGGGAGAGCAGAAGACGGUACCUCUAGAAUAAGCCACGGCUAACUACGUGCCAGCAGCCGCGGUAAUACGUAGGUGGCAAGCGUUGUCCGGAUUUACUGGGUGUAAAGGGCGUGCAGCCGGGUCUGCAAGUCAGAUGUGAAAUCCAUGGGCUCAACCCAUGAACUGCAUUUGAAACUGUAGAUCUUGAGUGUCGGAGGGGCAAUCGGAAUUCCUAGUGUAGCGGUGAAAUGCGUAGAUAUUAGGAGGAACACCAGUGGCGAAGGCGGAUUGCUGGACGAUAACUGACGGUGAGGCGCGAAAGUGUGGGGAGCAAACAGGAUUAGAUACCCUGGUAGUCCACACUGUAAACGAUGAAUACUAGG
rnacentral:rRNA from 1 species